GGAAUAACUUCGGGAAACCGGAGCUAAUGCCGGAUAACAUUUGGAACCGCAUGGUUCUAAAGUAAAAGAUGGUUUUGCUAUCACUUAUAGAUGGACCCGCGCCGUAUUAGCUAGUUGGUAAGGUAACGGCUUACCAAGGCAACGAUACGUAGCCGACCUGAGAGGGUGAUCGGCCACACUGGAACUGAGACACGGUCCAGACUCCUACGGGAGGCAGCAGUAGGGAAUCUUCCGCAAUGGACGAAAGUCUGACGGAGCAACGCCGCGUGAGUGAUGAAGGUUUUCGGAUCGUAAAACUCUGUUAUUAGGGAAGAACAAAUGUGUAAGUAACUGUGCACAUCUUGACGGUACCUAAUCAGAAAGCCACGGCUAACUACGUGCCAGCAGCCGCGGUAAUACGUAGGUGGCAAGCGUUAUCCGGAAUUAUUGGGCGUAAAGCGCGCGUAGGCGGUUUCUUAAGUCUGAUGUGAAAGCCCACGGCUCAACCGUGGAGGGUCAUUGGAAACUGGGAAACUUGAGUACAGAAGAGGAAAGUGGAAUUCCAUGUGUAGCGGUGAAAUGCGCAGAGAUAUGGAGGAACACCAGUGGCGAAGGCGACUUUCUGGUCUGUAACUGACGCUGAUGUGCGAAAGCGUGGGGGAUCAAACAGGAUUAGAUACCCUGGUAGUCCACGCCGUAAACGAUGAGUGCUAAGUGUUAGGGGGGUUUCCGCCCCUUAGUGGCUGCAGCUAACGCAUUAAGCACUCCGCCUGGGGAGUACGACCGCAAGGUUGAAACUCAAGGAAUUGACGGGGACCCGCACAAGCGGUGGAGCAUGGUGGUUUAAUUCGAAGCAACGCGAAGAACCUUACCAAAUCUUGACAUCCUUUGAAAACUCUAGAGAUAGAGCCUUCCCCUUCGGGGGACAAAGUGACAGGUGGUGCAUGGUUGUCGUCAGCUCGUGUCGUGAGAUGUUGGGUUAAGUCCCGCAACGAGCGCAACCCUUAAACUUAGUUGCCAGCAUUUAGUUGGGCACUCUAGGUUGACUGCCGGUGACAAACCGGAGGAAGGUGGGGAUGACGUCAAAUCAUCAUGCCCCUUAUGAU
rnacentral:rRNA from 1 species